rnacentral:rRNA from 1 species
CGUAUCCUACGGGACGCAGCAGUGAGGAAUAUUGGUCAAUGGGAGAGAUCCUGAACCAGCCAUGCCGCGUGAGGGAAGACGGCCCUAUGGGUUGUAAACCUCUUUUGUCGGAGAACAAAACCCGGGACGUGUCCCGGACUGCGUGUAUCCGAAGAAAAAGCAUCGGCUAACUCCGUGCCAGCAGCCGCGGUAAUACGGAGGAUGCGAGCGUUAUCCGGAUUUAUUGGGUUUAAAGGGAGCGUAGGCCGGUCUUUAAGCGUGCCGUGAAAUUUUGUGGCUCAACCAUGAGUGUGCGGCGCGAACUG